GGGAGUAUUCGCUCUCGAAGACCUCCACCAGCAUGAGGUACAGCUGGACCCCCUCAAGACACAUCCAAGAGAAGGAAGCCAGGAAGAAGAAGUGGAGGAUCCCCGCAAUGAUGGCGCAUCCAAUCUGAGCCCCGGAAGAAGCAGAAGGUGAAGAUGCUGAUGGCGAGGCAGACGAGGGACACCACGAUCCCAACGCGAGUGAUGACCCUCAGAAGCAGCUCGUGCACCGUGCCGUUAACCUGGAAGAAAUAAAAGGUGCUAUGGGAAAAUUACUUCCUCGAUACGUUUAAGAGAGCUUACCGUUCCGACUGUUGAGCUUGACAGUGUUGGCCGACAGCUGGAUUGAGAUACCAUCCUUGCUGGAUUGUGGAAAUUUAAAAUCCUGGACUUGGCCAUCCGUGCUGAGUACAUACACAUCCAGGACUGCCAUGUGCAGAAAGGCAGAGGACAGUUUAGAGA